rnacentral:lncRNA from 1 species
CUGAGUAAGGAGCAUAGAGACAAAUAUAAAAUGAACGCACUCUACCUGAUUUAAUUAUAGUCUUCUGGUGAAGAUCUUGCUGUUAUCUCUGUGAAUCAGGAGAGAAGAGAUCGAUGAAUAGACGAGAUUGGAUUUGGUCAUUUUCCCAAGGUGAAGAGCAUGGUGAUUUCUUCUGUGGUAAGGAGCAAUAAUGAAGACCAUGGUUGGUUUAAUCAGUCUCUGCUGAUGAAGAUCUUGGCUGUUACCUUUGUGUAUAAGGAAGCUAAAGACAAGUAAAUAACAGUCCAAAAACGUGUCAAUUAGGGUAAAUUUUUCAUUAAUGUUCACUGAAUUAUUUAAAGUUAAGGCGUAUGUAGAUCAAUGAUAUGAAUGUGUUAUGAAACUUAGAUUAUGGUUAGUCCAAUUAAGCACAAUUUUGGUUAAAAAUAAGAUGAAAGACAUUUUAUUCAUUUUUUACAUCUGAUUAAUAAUUCAUCUUAUUUUUGUACUGCAUUUAAUUUAAGAUUUAUUCACUAAUAAAAUCUAUGGCUGUACUGUUCAA